ACAAUUGGUAGAGGUGCAUCAAUUAUCAGUAAACAAUCGGAUAUGUCAGGCAUAGAUGAGGAUUUGUUGAAAGGAUGAGAUGCCGAAGCUUUAGAUAUCCUGAGUAUGUAAGGCUGGUCGUAUGAUGAAGAAUCAUGGGACUGUCAUCAAGUUAUUGAUGGAGAGCUACCUAAAGA
rnacentral:ncRNA from 2 species